rnacentral:rRNA from 1 species
UGGGGGAUAUUGCACAAUGGGCGAAAGCCUGAUGCAGCGACGCCGCGUGGGGGAUGAAGGCUUUCGGGUUGUAAACCUCUUUCGCUAUCGAACAAGGCCCGCUUAGGGUGGGUUGAGGGUAGGUGGAGAAGAAGCGCCGGCUAACUACGUGCCAGCAGCCGCGGUAAUACGUAGGGCGCGAGCGUUGUCCGGAAUUAUUGGGCGUAAAGGGAUAGGAGGCGGCUUGUUGCGCCUGCUGUGAAAACGCGGGGCUGAACUUCGGGCGGGGAGUGGGGACAGGCGGGCUUGAGUGUGGUAGGGGUGACUGGAAUUCCAGGUGUAGCGGUGGAAUGCGCAGAUAUCUGGAGGAGAACCGAUGGCGAAGGCAGGUCACUGGGCCAUUACUGACGAUGAGGAGCGAAAGCAUGGGUAGCGAACAGG